rnacentral:rRNA from 1 species
AGCGAACGCUGGCGGCAGGCCUAAUACAUGCAAGUCGAACGAAGCCUUCGGGCUUAGUGGCGGACGGGUGAGUAACACGUGGGAACGUACCCUUUGGUUCGGAACAACUCAGGGAAACUUGAGCUAAUACCCGAAUGUGCCCCCAUCCUUAACAAGAUGGGUGGAAAGAUUUAUCGCCAUUGGAGCGGCCCGCGUCUGAUUAGCUAGUUGGUGAGGUAAAGGCCCACCAAGGCUACGAUCAGUAGCUGGUCUGAGAGGAUGAUCAGCCACACUGGGACUGAGACACGGCCCAGACUCCUACGGGA